rnacentral:rRNA from 1 species
UACGUAGGGGGCAAGCGUUGUCCGGAUUUAUUGGGCGUAAAGAGCGCGUAGGCGGCCACAAAAGUCCGCUGUGAAAGUCCGAGGCUCAACCUCGGAAUGUCGGUAGAAACUUUGUGGCUAGAGUCCGGAAGAGGAGAAUGGAAUUCCUGGUGUAGCGGUGAAAUGCGCAGAUAUCAGGAGGAACACCGGUGGCGAAGGCGGGUCUCUGGGCCGAUACUGACGCUGAGGAGCGAAAGCGUGGGGAGCGAACAGG